CCAUGCAUGUCUAAGUACACGCCCUAGCACGGCGAGACUGCGGAUGGCUCAUUAAAUCAGUUAUGGUUCCUUAGAUCGUACACAUCCUACUUGGAUAACUGUGGCAAUUCUAGAGCUAAUACAUGACAGCCAGCUUCGACCCGUCAGAGGGGAAGAGCGCUUUUGUUGCUUUAAAGCCAAACCGGGCUCGCCGGUCAAACGGCGGCUCGCGAACGCUAGUGAUGACUCCGAACAACUUUGUGCCGAUCGCAGGCCCUAGAGGCGGCGACGUGUCUAUCAAGUGUCUGCCCUAUCAACUGUCGAUGGUACGCGCUAUGCCUACCAUGGUGAUAACGGGUGACGGGGAAUCAGGGUUUGAUUCCGGAGAGGGAGCAUGAGAAACGGCUACCACAUCCAAGGACGGCAGCAGGCGCGCAAAUUACCCAAUCCCGACACGGGGAGGUAGUGACGAAAAAUAACAAUACGGGACUCUUUCGAGGCCUCGUAAUUGGAAUGAGUACAGUUUAAAUCCUU
rnacentral:rRNA from 1 species